AUGACGGCAAUAGUUCAAUACACAUUUGACAAGAUGAAUGCGUACUUUGUAAAGUACUCGAUGGAAACCGAUGCACAGAUAGCGGGUGAGAACCCACGGAAGUACAAGUACAAGUUCCCACCCAAAGUUGAUGAAUGGUUGCUAUUUCAAUCACGGAAGGCGGACUCAGAAGAAGCUAUAUUAUAUGACAAUGAGGAGUGGAAGUACGAAGUGAAAGAGCCAGGAGAAACCACAAACGAUGGCCGGCAACAUGGAGGUCGGGCUUUCAAGGUGUUGUUAACACAAUGUGAUUGCACUUGCGGGAGGCCAUUGUUGCUUCAUCUCCCAUGCUCACAUUUGUAUGCCGCCGGCCGCGUUAGGAAUGUGGACAUCAAUCACCCACGCACCGUGAGGGAGUCCCAGUUCUCAAUCAUGACGGUCAAGAAAACAUGGGCUCCCCGCUUUCACCCAUACUUUGACCAAUCACAAUGGCCGGAGUAUCAUGGAGUUCAACUAUGGCCGGAUCCG
rnacentral:rRNA from 1 species